UACAGAGGUCUCAAGCGUUGUUCGGAUUCAUUGGGCGUAAAGGGUGCGUAGGCGGCGCGGUAAGUCGGGUGUGAAAUCUCGGGGCUUAACUCCGAAACUGCAUUCGAUACUACCGUGCUUGAGGACUGGAGAGGAGACUGGAAUUUACGGUGUAGCGGUGAAAUGCGUAGAUAUCGUAAGGAAGACCAGUGGCGAAGGCGGGUCUCUGGACCGUAACUGACGCUGAGGAGCGAAAGCAUGGGGAGCGAACAGG
rnacentral:rRNA from 1 species